UAGCCGACUGGAAGUGAUCUACCGACGCGCGACUGGUGGUAAUGCAACCGCGGCUGUUACUACAGCUUUUGAUCUCGUUGCCAAGAUGGCGAUUAGAAUCAAGGGAAAUAAAAGUGUGGAGUUCCCUGGCCUGGGAAAGAAAUUACCCGGCGAGCUCUUACGUCUAUUUCCACAAGACCCCGCCUGUCCUCUCUUACUAGACAGUCCCCAUUCAAUGCCAAUACACUGGACACAGUCAUCCGAGGCGGCAGCUGAAAUUGGAGUGUCUGCCGCAGAGUUUUUCCAUUACGGCGAGACUGUCCGCUACAACG